UCCGGUUUGUCACCGGCAGUCUCCCUAGAGUUCCCACCAUGACGUGCUGGCAACUAGGGACAAGGGUUGCGCUCGUUACGGGACUUAACCCAACAUCUCACGACACGAGCUGACGACAGCCAUGCAGCACCUGUCACUCGGUUCCCGAAGGCACCAAUCCAUCUCUGGAAAGUUCCGAGCAUGUCAAGCCCUGGUAAGGUUCUUCGCGUUGCGUCGAAUUGAGCCACAUGCUCCGCCGCUUGUGCGGGUCCCCGUCAAUUCCUUUGAGUUUUAGCCUUGCGGCCGUACUCCCCAGGCGGGGCGCUUAAUGCGUUAGCUACGGCACGGAUUCCGUGGAAGGAACCCACACCUAGCGCCCACCGUUUACGGCGUGGACUAC
rnacentral:misc_RNA from 1 species